rnacentral:rRNA from 1 species
AACGAACGCUGGCGGCGUGCUUAAGACAUGCAAGUCGAACGGUAAGGCCCGCCUACCUUCGGGUAGAUGGGUACACGAGUGGCGCACGGGUGAGUAACGCGUGGGUAAUCUGCCUUCGGGUCUGGGACAACUCCGGGAAACUGGAGCUAAUACCGGAUAAGACCACGGGGCCUUCGGACCCUGGGGAAAAAGAUGGCCUCUCCUUGGAAGCUAUCGCCCGUCGAUGAGCCCGCGUCCCAUUAGCUUGUUGGUGAGGUAACGGCUCACCAAGGCUUCGAUGGGUAGCUGGUCUGAGAGGAUGAUCAGCCACACUGGAACUGAGACACGGUCCAGACUCCUACGGGAGUUAGCAUCCGGGAAUCUUGCGCAAUGGGCGAAAGCCUGACGCAGCGACGCCGCGUGGGUGAUGAAGGCCUGCGGGUCGUAAAGCCCUGUCAAGAGGGAAGAAUAAAUGACGGUACCUCUAAAGGAAGCCCCGGCUAACUACGUG